AUGGCACUAGGGACUGACCUCUGCCCUAAUAAUUACUGGCAAUACUUCUCCUGGUGUCAUACUUUCCUUCCCUAUGGGAAGAAAUACUAUACUGUUGGCCUCGCGGCUGUUUGCUGGGCUAUCUGGCUGGCUCGAAAUCGAGCCACAUUUGAGAAAAAGCAGAUCAAGACGCUGUUUGAGAUUGUGUUUUCCAUGUGUUCCUUUUUGAUAUAUUGGGCAGGUCUUCAGCAAGGCGAUGGAGUCAAGGAGCUGCGCAGCGGAGCGGCCAUGGUCAGGUCUAGCACUGUGAGCAUGAUGAAGAUGUGCGAGGCGGCAAGAAGACCGAUCGAGGGAGAAUGA
rnacentral:rRNA from 1 species